rnacentral:sRNA from 1 species
AACUAUGCGGAGUACAAUUAUCACCCUCAUGACACACGCACUAUUUUCACAGGCGUGAGGAAGGAAGUUACAUAUCAACUAACAAGGAGCAAACAUAUAGCUAUAUUUGCUCAUUGAUUGGACCAUUCUUCCACUUGAUCGAAGGCAAGGGAAGGAAGAAGCACACGGACGGAGGGACAUCAGACGGACAGUAGGUACUUUGACAAGGUCUUGAAAAACCUGAUUGUCUUUUGAGCUUAAAAGUUGUCUCCGCUAGGGUGAUGCGAAGAGCAAUACUGCAAAGAGCAGGAAUGUUAACGGCCAAGGAAAGGGCAUGGUAUCGAAUCGUGGCCUCCGUCCUAAGGGCCACUCAGGUUCUGGUUUAUAUAUCUUGAUAUUUGAGACUUACAGUCUCGGCGCCGCCAUCCAAAUCAUCGUUCGCGUCCUCCAAACCGAUCCUCAGGUCAUGCCGAAACUUGAAAGCAUACCAGCGGGCAAAUGCCGAAACAAAUAAAAGCCAAGUGAUGCGUAUACCAUGCACAGUAACCUAUCCUUUGUUUUUGUUACCUUAUUUCCUUCCCAUCGUCAUCGUAGUAUUAUAGUUCUGCCUCGCAUAUAUCCUUUGACAUUCCCCCGUUCCAAUGACGCGAAAGAAAGGUAAUAUUUUGUCGGGGAGCUCUAAUUUAGGAGUUACUCUACGCUUAUGUAUGAAUAGCAAUCAUUUCUCGG